UACGUAGGGGGCAAGCGUUGUCCGGAAUCAUUGGGCGUAAAGAGCGCGUAGGCGGUCUGUCGCGUCGAUCGUGAAAACUUGGGGCUUAACCCUGAGCUUGCGGUCGAUACGGGCAUGACUGGAGUUCGGCAGGGGAGACUGGAAUUCCUGGUGUAGCGGUGAAAUGCGCAGAUAUCAGGAGGAACACCGGUGGCGAAGGCGGAUCUCUGGGCCAUUACUGACGCUGGAGGAGCGAAAGCGUGGGGAGCGAACAGG
rnacentral:rRNA from 1 species